rnacentral:tRNA from 1 species
GCGGGCGUGGCGGAAUUGGCAUACGCGGUAGCUUUGGGAGCUACUGGACACAAACCCUUGGCAAGCCCCCCGGCCCCAAGGCGUCCGUGCAGGUUCGAAUCCUGUCGCCCGUA